AAGAAGAAGGAUCUUCCUCUGCUCCACCUGCUCCUGAGAGUCCACGUAACUUGCUGUUUGUGUCUUGCUCACCUAGUGAUUUACUGACCUGCUGGCCUACUAACCUGUCUGAACCCUCCUCCCUCCCCUCUUGUGCUUGAUCUGAUCCUGAUACUGUCCCUGACCCCCUUCUUCUCCUGACACACCCUUCCCUAACCCCACCCCUUUUUUAUACUCCUCCCCCAUCUCCAAUUACCACCCCUCCCCACUUCUCCCUUGCCCACCUAUACCCCAUCCCUGUCUCCACCUCCUGCCUGGAACCCUAGAGUCCCCUUAAAGGACCAGGACAGGAAGGUGCAGAGGCUGUUUUUCCGGCUCCUUGUGCUUGGGUGUCCCGAUUACCCAAACACAAAUCCUGUCCAUAUUUUGCCUGACCAUUUCCCUCUUGGCUCUGAUGUGUUUGAAAUUCUGUGGAAACAUAACAUUAUUACUGCCUCCAUGGGAACUUGUGCUUGUCUAAUUUACCUCUGGAGAACUGUUUUCGCUGUAAAGAGUUGAGUAUAUGAAGAUCAAAUUUCUGAGAAGAUUAAGUACUACAUGAAGAAAAAUGCAAAACGUGCAGAGAAAAUAUCCAUUUGUGAACAGAAGGUAUAACCAUCCCCCCCCUUUUUUUCAUUUUCAUGAUUUCACCUGGAAUUGUGUUCACUUCUGGUUCACUGAUUUUGCCAUCUCCUCUUUCAUCAUCAUGUCCCAUUUCAUUCCAUUCUAUACCAGGCUAAAUUCAAAGCAACCAUCACAUAUGUAAAAUACCACAUUCUUUAUUUUUGUAGUGGCUUACCCACCAGAGAUAGGUUUUUAUGUCAUCAUAAUUAAUAUUUUUGAAUUCUGAAUCCUUUAUUACAUAUUUGUGUGGAUCAAUGGAGCAAAGAAAUGUGCUCAAGAAACCAUGUGGCAAAAUAAGCUUCCCUCUUAUGAAGCACAUAGAUGUAAGACAAAAAUCCCUUCUUUGUCCUGGGGCACCUGGGUGGCUCAGUUGGUUAAACAUCCAACUCUUGGUUUCAGCUCAGGUCAUGAUCUCAUGGUUCGUGAGUUUGAGCUCUUCAUCAGGCUAUGUGCUUAUGGUAGGGAUUCUUUCCCUCUGUCUCUAUCUGCCCUUCCCCUGCUGGCUCACUCUGUCUCUCUUGAAAAAUAAAUUUAAAAAAGAUGUUAAAAUCCCUUCUUUGUCCUUUAAAAAUGGAAGUAAAAGUAAUAAGUAUUCCUGAUGACUAUAUGUUUUGUUGAAGAAUAACAAUGAGACACUUGAGCACACUAAUGAAUUUUUUAAUGACAUCAUUCCAAGUGUGCAGGCUUUGUUGCAAUCUGAGAGAAAUCAGAAUGUCAAGAAUCGGGGCUUCCUGAGUUACCAUAUUUUGAUGUUUGAGCCCUUUUGGUCAUUGGGUAAAUUAAGCCCCUCAACCUUGCAUGCCAUUCACUGCCGUUUCAAGCAGUAACACCAUAGUACCUCUUUUAUUUAGGAGUUAGGCAGAAUUUGUUUUCAUAACCCUGGCUUAACUUUUAUAUGAUUCAGUCCUGCUGGGAGAGAGCACUAGAGGUUUCUCACCAUCUUGAACAGUUCUGUUCCUCUUAAUGCAGAGCAGAGAAUUUUGAAAGUGAAUCUGGUGACAAUAUUUCUCUUCCAUAAAGAAGAGAUUGGAGCUGUUUGGCUUGAAAGAUUUUACACUUUCUUCGUUUUUUCUUUGUCAUCCAGUUACAGUUCCACUGUCUCAAAACCAAGACGGUUGUUCUGAAACAUUUACACCUUCCACUGUUCUCUUCAUCCUUCAUUUCUUUAUGUGUCUGGCUUUUCUCUUUGGCCCAAACUGGAUCGAAUGUUUUACAUGAUACAGGGACUGGCUGUGGGGUAUGUUCUAUCGACAAUGCUUCUUUGUGACACAGUGUCCAGUGUUUGUUUGGAAAGCCUAGUACACAUUUUGUUUCUAUCCUACUUGCAAAUCAGGGAAAGGAAAAAUCUACAAAGAGCUUCAAAGGUGCUAUUUUAGUAAACACUUCAGAAGUUUCAGAAGUAAAUUCCCUCUAUUUCCUGCAGGAUUUCCAUUGUUCACUUUUGCUUUGAAGAAGAACUUAUCUUUGUCUUAGAACAUUAGAUUUAUAUGUUAUCUACUGGGUGAUUUUCUUCUUGGGACGUAAGUCACUAGAGAGAAAGUUUUGCUUAGGUUCACUUCUCCCUUAAUGAAGUUCAUACCAGCAAAGUGAAAUCGAAGUCUGAAGAACAGCCUGUGCAGAAAGAAAAUGCUCAGCUUAAGAUCCACAAGAAUCAGGUAAAAAGGGGAGCCUGGGUGGCU